UGUACACACCGCCCGUCACACCAUGGAAGUUUACUGCACCAGAAGCAGGUAGCCUGACCGCAAGGGGGGCGCCUACCACGGUGUGGUCAAUGACUGGGGUGAAGUCGUAACAAGGUAGCCGUACGGGAACGUGCGGCUGGAUCACCUCCUUUCAA
rnacentral:rRNA from 1 species